rnacentral:misc_RNA from 1 species
AGUCAACGCCAGAAAACAGACUAGCUCUGAAGUUUCCAUGAAGGUAGCUGCAGCUGAUUCGUGCAAUAGCAACACACCUAAAAGGGUGGAUUUGAAGUCAAAGAAACUUGUGAGAUAUCCAGUCAUGAACAUGUGGCUUGGGCCCAGACAAGUUAUGCUAGGUUCACUAAAGGUACAAAAGAAAAAGAAAUGCAAUAGAACUAGAAGACGGUCUGUAGUUUGUGAGGACAUGGCCAAUGCCACUUGUUCAGGUAACAACACAAGCGAGCAGCAGGCAUCAACAUCAACAACAACGUCGUCUGAAACUGUGCAAUGUACUCCCAGAGGGCGGAAACGUGCCUAUGAUAGUGACAGUCCUAAAAAUAAUAACCAGAAGCAAAACAAGCAAGACGU